UUGAACGCUGGCGGCAGGCCUAACACAUGCAAGUCGAGCGGAUGAAGGGAGCUUGCUCCUGGAUUCAGCGGCGGACGGGUGAGUAAUGCCUAGGAAUCUGCCUGGUAGUGGGGGAUAACGUCCGGAAACGGGCGCUAAUACCGCAUACGUCCUGAGGGAGAAAGUGGGGGAUCUUCGGACCUCACGCUAUCAGAGGAGCCUAGGUCGGAUUAGCUAGUUGGUGGGGUAAAGGCCUACCAAGGCGACGAUCCGUAACUGGUCUGAGAGGAUGAUCAGUCACACUGGAACUGAGACACGGUCCAGACUCCUACGGGAGGCAGCAGUGGGGAAUAUUGGACAAUGGGCGAAAGCCUGAUCCAGCCAUGCCGCGUGUGUGAAGAAGGUCUUCGGAUUGUAAAGCACUUUAAGUUGGGAGGAAGGGCAGUAAGUUAAUACCUUGCUGUUUUGACGUUACCAACAGAAUAAGCACCGGCUAACUUCGUG
rnacentral:rRNA from 1 species